rnacentral:rRNA from 1 species
GGACGAACGCUGGCGGCGUGCUUAACACAUGCAAGUCGAACGGAAAGGCCCUGCUUUUGUGGGGUGCUCGAGUGGCGAACGGGUGAGUAACACGUGAGUAACCUGCCCUUGACUUUGGGAUAACUUCAGGAAACUGGGGCUAAUACCGGAUAGGAGCUCCUGCUGCAUGGGGGGGGUUGGAAAGUUUCGGCGGUUGGGGAUGGACUCGCGGCUUAUCAGCGUGUUGGUGGGGUAGUGGCUUACCAAGGCUUUGACGGGUAGCCGGCCUGAGAGGGUGACCGGCCACAUUGGGACUGAGAUACGGACCAGACUCCUACGGGAGGCAGCAGUGGGGAAUAUUGCACAAUGGGCGGAAGCCUGAUGCAGCAACGCCGCGUGCGGGAUGACGGCCUUCGGGUUGUAAACCGCUUUCGCCUGUGACGAAGCGUGAGUGACGGUAAUGGGUAAAGAAGCACCGGCUAACUACGUG